GACGAACGCUGGCGGCGUGCUUAACACAUGCAAGUCGAACGGAAAGGCCCUGCUUUUGUGGGGUGCUCGAGUGGCGAACGGGUGAGUAACACGUGAGUAACCUGCCCUUGACUUUGGGAUAACUUCAGGAAACUGGGGCUAAUACCGGAUAGGAGCUCCUGCUGCAUGGUGGGGGUUGGAAAGUUUCGGCGGUGGGGGAUGGACUCGCGGCUUAUGAGCUUGUUGGUGGGGUAGUGGCUUACGAAGGCUUUGACGGGUAGCCGGCCUGAGAGGGUUGACGGCGACAAGAGGCCUGAGAGACGGACCAGACGGCUACGGGAGGCAGCAGUGGGGAAUAUUGCACAGUGGGCGGAAGCCUGAGACAGCAGCGCCGCGUGCGGGAUGACGGCCUUCGGGUUGUAAACCGCUUUCGCCUGUGACGAAGCGUGAGUGACGGUAAUGGGUAAAGAAGCACCGGCUAACUACGUG
rnacentral:rRNA from 1 species